CCGAGUGAGGGUGCUUGCGCCCGACCUCCAACCCUUUGUUUAUUCAAACCUCUGUUUCCUCGGGGGCGACCCGGCUCUCGAGCCGGGGCCCCCGGUGGACCAAUUCAUUAAACUCUGCAUCAAUGCGUCCGAGUAGAAAGCAAAAUGAAUCA
rnacentral:misc_RNA from 1 species